GGGUUGUGAGGUUAAGCGACUAAGCGUACACGGUGGAUGCCCUGGCAGUCAGAGGCGAUGAAGGACGUGCUAAUCUGCGAUAAGCGUCGGUAAGGUGAUAUGAACCGUUAUAACCGGCGAUUUCCGAAUGGGGAAACCCAGUGUGUUUCGACACACUAUCAUUAACUGAAUCCAUAGGUUAAUGAGGCGAACCGGGGGAACUGAAACAUCUAAGUACCCCGAGGAAAAGAAAUCAACCGAGAUUCCCCCAGUAGCGGCGAGCGAACGGGGAGCAGCCCAGAGCCUGAAUCAGUGUGUGUGUUAGUGGAAGCGUCUGGAAAGGCGUGCGAUACAGGGUGACAGCCCCGUACACAAAAAUGCACAUGCUGUGAGCUCGAUGAGUAGGGCGGGACACGUGGUAUCCUGUCUGAAUAUGGGGGGACCAUCCUCCAAGGCUAAAUACUCCUGACUGACCGAUAGUGAACCAGUACCGUGAGGGAAAGGCGAAAAGAACCCCGGCGAGGGGAGUGAAAAAGAACCUGAAACCGUGUACGUACAAGCAGUGGGAGCACGCUUAGGCGUGUGACUGCGUACCUUUUGUAUAAUGGGUCAGCGACUUAUAUUCUGUAGCAAGGUUAACCGAAUAGGGGAGCCGAAGGGAAACCGAGUCUUAACUGGGCGUUAAGUUGCAGGGUAUAGACCCGAAACCCGGUGAUCUAGCCAUGGGCAGGUUGAAGGUUGGGUAACACUAACUGGAGGACCGAACCGACUAAUGUUGAAAAAUUAGCGGAUGACUUGUGGCUGGGGGUGAAAGGCCAAUCAAACCGGGAGAUAGCUGGUUCUCCCCGAAAGCUAUUUAGGUAGCGCCUCGUGAAUUCAUCUCCGGGGGUAGAGCACUGUUUCGGCAAGGGGGUCAUCCCGACUUACCAACCCGAUGCAAACUGCGAAUACCGGAGAAUGUUAUCACGGGAGACACACGGCGGGUGCUAACGUCCGUCGUGAAGAGGGAAACAACCCAGACCGCCAGCUAAGGUCCCAAAGUCAUGGUUAAGUGGGAAACGAUGUGGGAAGGCCCAGACAGCCAGGAUGUUGGCUUAGAAGCAGCCAUCAUUUAAAGAAAGCGUAAUAGCUCACUGGUCGAGUCGGCCUGCGCGGAAGAUGUAACGGGGCUAAACCAUGCACCGAAGCUGCGGCAGCGACGCUGAUGCGUUGUUGGGUAGGGGAGCGUUCUGUAAGCCUGCGAAGGUGUGCUGUGAGGCAUGCUGGAGGUAUCAGAAGUGCGAAUGCUGACAUAAGUAACGAUAAAGCGGGUGAAAAGCCCGCUCGCCGGAAGACCAAGGGUUCCUGUCCAACGUUAAUCGGGGCAGGGUGAGUCGACCCCUAAGGCGAGGCCGAAAGGCGUAGUCGAUGGGAAACAGGUUAAUAUUCCUGUGCUUGGUGUUACUGCGAAGGGGGGACGGAGAAGGCUAUGUUGGCCGGGCGACGGUUGUCCCGGUU
rnacentral:rRNA from 1 species